GUGAAUCAUCAAAUCUUUGAACGCAAAUUGCACUCUCUGGUAUUCCGGAGAGUAUGUUUGUUUGAUGGUCAGUUUAAAUAAAAAUGGGUGUGGUUGCUGCCUUUCGUGGUGACGCACCGGAUUUGGGGCGUCUUGCUUUUGGUUAAGUGACCUAUAAUUUUGCAUGGUUUUUUCGUACGUUUUUAAUUGAUUAUAAGUACGUUUGCUGUAUCGAAUGAUAGGUGUGGUCAUCCUCAUGAUUGGUGUCUCUAAUUUUUCCUUAAAAUGACGUCACUUCAU
rnacentral:misc_RNA from 1 species